rnacentral:rRNA from 1 species
CCUACGGGAGGCAGCAGUGAGGAAUAUUGGACAAUGGAGGCAACUCUGAUCCAGCCAUGCCGCGUGCAGGAAGACUGCCCUAUGGGUUGUAAACUGCUUUUAUACAGGAAGAAACACUCUCACGUGUGAGAGCUUGACGGUACUGUAAGAAUAAGGAUCGGCUAACUCCGUGCCAGCAGCCGCGGUAAUACGGAGGAUCCAAGCGUUAUCCGGAAUCAUUGGGUUUAAAGGGUCCGUAGGUGGAUAAUUAAGUCAGAGGUGAAAUCCUGCAGCUCAACUGUAGAAUUGCCUUUGAUACUGGUUGUCUUGAGUUAUUAUGAAGUAGUUAGAAUAUGUAGUGUAGCGGUGAAAUGCAUAGAUAUUACAUAGAAUACCAAUUGCGAAGGCAGAUUACUAAUAAUAUACUGACACUGAUGGACGAAAGCGUGGGGAGCGAACAGGAUUAGAUACCCCGGUAGUC